GGGGAUGUAGCUCAGUGGUAGAGACCCAGCCUAUCAAGCAUGAAGCCCUGGGUUCGAUCCUCAGCACCACUA
rnacentral:tRNA from 1 species